GGUUGUGGAAACUGUUGAGUUUCUACUCAACAAUAUAAACCCAACUUCUAAUGUAAAUAAGAAGUUUAUGUUAUAUAAAAACAUGUAAAUAUUUUUAUAUAUUCACACUUUCAAUUUCCCCCAGCAGACUUGAGAACUCAAAGGCAGCCACAGUGUCAGGGCUAGAGAAGAGGGAAGAGACAGGUACAGGGCAUGUUUCUCAUCAGUUUUACUUGCCACAGCCUGUGACCAGGAAAGGAGAAUGCCAAAAUCCUUCGUAAUGGAGAGCAGGAAGGAGUCCCACUUUCAUCUGGAGCAGGUAAUACGUUUACUUGAUUAACCGUACCGAAAAUGUUGAAAAUCAUCAAAUGGCAAAGCAACAGAGCAAUAAAACAUUCUUCUUCACGUCUGUGGGUGAGCUCCGACUCUUGAGGCAGACAUUUGCCAGUUUGCUGGAAGAUGAACGCCCGUGAGGAGCAGAGACAGCAGCUGGAUCCUGCUGAUUCACACCUUCCUUAGCAGUAAAAAGUUGGAGCUGAGGUCCAGGGCACACAGCUGAGGAAAAGUCUCUC